CGGGGUGUGGCUCAGUUUGGCUAGAGUACUUGAUUUGGGAUCAAGGGGUCGCAGGUUCGAAUCCUGUCACCCCGA
rfam:Catonella morbi ATCC 51271 genomic scaffold Scfld0, whole genome shotgun sequence.